AGUGAACGCUGGCGGUAUGCCUAAUACAUGCAAGUCGAACGACAGCACAGUAAGCUUUUGCUCUUACGGUUGGCGACUGGCGGAUGGGUGAGGAAUAGAUAGGAAUCUACUUUUUCGGGGGGGAUAUCGUGGGGAAACUGACACUAACACCUCAUACGACCUACCUGUGAAAUCAGGGGUGAUUCGGACCUUUCGCGAUUGAAUUAGCCGAUGUCGGAUUAGCUAGUUGGCUGGGUAAAGGCCCACCAAGGCAACGAACCGUAGCUGGUCUGACAGGGUGAUCGGCCACACUGGAACUGAGACACGGUCCAGACUCCUACGGGAGGCAGCAGUGGGGAAUCUUGGACAAUGGGCGAAAGCCUGACGGAGCAAUGCCGCGUGGGUGAAGAAGGUCUUCGGAUUGUAAAGCCCUUUUGUUGGGAAAGAAAAACAGCAUAUUAAAACCCCGAUGUUCUGACGGUACCUAAACAAAAAGCAACGGCUAACUUCGUG
rnacentral:rRNA from 1 species